UUCAAAUUGGCCCAGUUACAUGCUUGUGU
rnacentral:piRNA from 1 species